rnacentral:rRNA from 1 species
GGUAACGCCGGGCCAGCGGCCGGGGGAAGACGGGGGGUCCGGGCGGUAAUCGGAAUGACUGGGCGUAAAGUGUUGGCAGGCGGUUUGUUAAGCGAGAUGUGAAAGCCCUGGGCUCAACCUAGGAAUAGCAUUUCGAACUGGCGAACUAGAGUCUUGUAGAGGGGGGUAGAAUUCCAGGUGUAGCGGUGAAAUGCGUAGAGAUCUGGAGGAAUACCGGUGGCGAAGGCGGCCCCCUGGACAAAGACUGACGCUCAUGCACGAAAGCGUGGGGAGCAAACAGGAUUAGAUACCCCAGUAGUC